UUAGCUAAUGUGAAGAAAUUUUUUUUAUGCUUUGGUGGCGGCAAAGAAAUUGCACAAUCGAUUAUUGAUAACAAAACUGCUUAGACUUUUGCUAUUAUUUUAUUUCUGUCUGAAGAUCUAUGAUGAUGUCUUGCUCAUGGAAGGUUCCCAUUUCUUCUGCCUUCCAAUCAAUAUCAUACUUACUAUCUAAAAGUUCUUUAAACUGCCGAAGAGGUGUGUUUCUCAUAAUCAUUAAAAUUUCCCCUUGAAAUUCAUUUAUUUCUGUGAUUGAAAUCAUGCCCUGAGAAAUGAAAAAUUAGUUCCAGUUUACUGCCUUACAGACAUGAUUCAAAAAUACUGAUUUAAUUAUUUACAUGUUAGGCUUCCCCUCUAAUUAUGUUGGUUAUUCUCAUUUGUAAUUAUUUCAUGUUUGUAUUAUGUUGAUGAAAUGCAUGCUUUUGUACAAUUCAUUCAAUAGUUCACAUAUAUAUCUGUUUUGAAAUUUGAACAGAGUUUUAAUUUGUUUUUCUACCUUUUUCCCACUCUUAUAAUGUAGGAUGAUGCUGAUUGGGAAAGGUUAGGAGUGAAAGCAGUUAAUGGUGCUAGAAUGUGUUUUUCAGUAAUGUUUUACUCUAUUCCAUACACAUUUUAUUUGACUGCCCUAAAUUAUAUAUCUUUUGUAGGGUCAAAAGCUAAUGAUGAUGGGAACUGCUUAUGAAAUUGUGAAAACUCCAGAGAAAGGAACAGUUUUUGUUGAAGAUCUUUCUGAAGAAGAACAAGUAGUUGCUGUUGUAAGUUUCAAGUUUUUCUUAUUAUAUUAGCUGAUUGCCCCACUCAAACAAGUAUCUUUUCAAGUCUUUGUCUUGAUGUAAAUUCAAUAAUACAUCAAAGAAUCAAUAGAAUUCAGAAGUGAAGUCACAAUUGAUGUUGCAAUUGAAUACAAAUUGAUUUUGGCAAUGUUUAAUGGACAAAUCAUGUAUCAGAUUCAUUGUUUAUCGGCCGUCUUAACAUCGGGAAGCUCACGAAAAGUUGAAUGUGAUCAUAGAACUUAUCUUGAAUAUAGGUGGGAAGUGUUGAUGUGUUACACUGCUACUAUGCCCAUGGAGAAGAGAAUGAAAAUUUUCAGAGGCGAAGCUAUUGGAUGCUUGAACAUUUCUGGUGAUUUGUCGGUGUUGGUUAUGGCGAAUGACAAACUUUCAGAAAAUAUGAACAAUUAGAGGUGUUGUGUUUGUUGGAAUUGAAUUUGUGGAACGACUACGUAUGAUGGGAACAAUGGAGAGAUUUAUGUCGGCUCUGGAAAAUCAGAAUCUAAGAGGAGAAUCUGUGUCGGCUCUCAGCCUGAUUUGGAAGCCAACCUUUUUAAGGUACGUCAAUGUUUUCUUGCCUUUUAAUGCGUGUUUUAGGGUAAAAAUUAUAGUUGAUUGAAACAGUUGUGUCAUUAAAAUAUCAGUACCACAGGGAUACGAAAUGCUGAUAAUGUUCGUGGGAGGGAUGGUUUUGAAAGUGAUGGGUGUGGUGUUGAUGAUAACCUCUUUUGACAACAAAUUGUGUGUUAUUUCCCAUCAAAAUCAUAAAUAGAGUCUCUCUAGAUUUUUGUAUUAUUUACAAUGGGAAAAGCAACUGAACCAAUAUAUUAACAAAAAAACACAAUAAUUGAAGCUAUUUGAGUCAAAUUUACUUCUUUUGAAAAUUGAUAAAUCUAUUGUUGUAAUUCCUAUUCUGGAGAAGCAACCAGGCCAAUGUUAUAAGAUAUUUCCCCACACAGGAAGAACACGUUGAAGACAAGCUACUCACUUGAACUGAACAACCAUGAUUUUCAUUACCAGCUACCAAUUUGAUAUAGAGAAGAAUCUAAUGAAAGUUCUAAUGCACCAAAGACAAAUGACUCAGGAAAGAAGGGAAAGAAACAUAAUCGAGUACUUCUGUCAAAAGCUGGUAGCAGGCGUUAUUGAUUAUUUGUUUUGUAGAUUACAUGUAUUUUACACUGAGAUUACUUAUUGAUUAUUUGUUCUGUCAACAGCUGGUACAGUGUUUUUUUAUGUGUUUUGUUUAAGCAUGCAUCAUAAGUUGUAUCUAAAUAUUUACAAUGUUCCUCCUCUGAAUCUUCCAUACUAGAACGCAGUAGCUCGCAAAAGACAUAUUGGCAUAACUUUGAUUCGAUUGAGUAUAAUGGUUUCUUCGGGCGCUGAUUCUAAGGUUGUGUCAUGCUUCACGGGACCAUGGUUUAAGAAGAAAUCGCUCAUACUCCCAAGGCCGGGUGGUGGACAUGCACGCUUAGGCAAGACUAAAGUUUGAUUUCACAUUGAUCAAACAAAGUUGCUGGUAUGCCAUGAAUCGCAUAUAGCAAUAUAUGAUGCCUCAAAAAUAGAAUUGAUUCAUCAGGUAAGCAUCUAUUUCCUCAUAUAUUCAAAGUGUCGAAUUUGGCACACACCCUGCGCACCAACCUCUUACGCUGUUGUGUUGAUUUUGAUAGAAUUAAUGACAUUUUUGUUUUUGUAUGCAAUAGUGGCCGCCACAGGAUGGAUUGUCUGGUACAAUAACCUCAACUGCAUACAACUGCAAUGGACAAAUAAUUUAUGCUACUUUCAGUGAUGAUAACAUUAGAAUAUUUGGUGCUGAAAAUCUCCAUCUAAGAUAUCAGAUCGAUUCAUCUGCAUACCUAUCUCCAUUAAUUAACCUUAAUCUCGAAAAAUUCGUGUAUAUGUUUUAGCGCAUAAUUCAUGAAUUAGCACAAUGUUGUUGAUAGCGGUUUGCGGAAAAUACUAUAGCUAUGAUUGUGAAGUACUGAUGUUGAUUUUUGUUUAAUAUGGUUAGGUUAAUUCACGUACUGGAAGAAUGAGAAAGGCUGUCAUUAGUGCUGCAGAAGCUGCUGGACUAAAUGUUGUGCCAGUUUCGUUUGGGGUUGAAGAGGAAUCAGGAAAGACUUUUAAAGUUGGUGGAAGGGAGUUUCGUGUGAACGGUCCUUCUGAUAGAGAGGGUUUUCUUCAAUCGGUUGUCGAUAAAUAUCCGAAUUUGAUUAUUGUGGACUACAGGGUACCAAAUGCAGUCAAUGGCAAUGCAGAGUUAUACAGUAAGGUCGGAAUACCAUUUGUGAUGGGAACCACUGGUGGAGAUAGGGAUUUGUUGCACUACAUGAUUAUUCUGUUGAUCAGGGACAGAAAAUAAAGUGUUGCAAUUUCUUUAUUGAUUGCAGCAUAUUUGGUUUUCCAGCAUUUCCUAAGAACAGGCUUGGAGAAAUCAUUUAACCAAGGUUCAAUUUGUUGCCACCUUAGCGGUCAAAGAUAUCACUGCUGCGUCUGUGUUGCUUCUUAUCUGAGUUGAGUUUGAAAUGAGUUAUGCUAAUAGUACAUUGUAAAUUAGAAUAAUACCUGUUGAAAUGUUGAAAUUGGUUGGAUAUAUAUAAAAUGUUUGACACUCAAA